AGAAUCAACGCUGGCGGCGUGCCUCAGACAUGCAAGUCGAACGCGAAAGUUCCCUUCGGGGGGCGAGUAGAGUGGCGCACGGGUGAGUAACACGUAGGUAAUCUACCUUUGGGUGGGGAAUAACUCAGGGAAACUUGAGCUAAUACCGCAUAAUGCAGCGGCUCGACAUCGAGACAGUUGUUAAAGCGGGGGAUCGCAAGACCUCGCGCCUAAAGAGGAGCCUGCGGCGGAUUAGCUAGUUGGUGAGGUAAUGGCUCACCAAGGCAUCGAUCCGUA
rnacentral:rRNA from 1 species